rnacentral:rRNA from 1 species
AUUGAACGCUGGCGGCAUGCCUUACACAUGCAAGUCGAACGGUAACGGGCCUUCGGGUGCCGACGAGUGGCGAACGGGUGAGUAAUGUAUCGGAACGUACCUUUCAGUGGGGGAUAACGUAGCGAAAGUUACGCUAAUACCGCAUAUUCUGUGAGCAGGAAAGCAGGGGAUCGCAAGACCUUGCGCUGAUUGAGCGGCCGAUAUCAGAUUAGCUAGUUGGUGAGGUAAAGGCUCACCAAGGCGACGAUCUGUAGCGGGUCUGAGAGGAUGAUCCGCCACACUGGAACUGAGACACGGUCCAGACUCCUACGGGAGGCAGCAGUGGGGAAUAUUGGACAAUGGGGGAAACCCUGAUCCAGCAAUGCCGCGUGAAUGAAGAAGGCCUUAGGGUUGUAAAGUUCUUUUGUCCGUGACGAUAAUGACGGUAGCGGACGAAUAAGCCCUGGCUAACUCUGUG